UUAGAGCAGGAAGAAACGGGUGGAGAGAAUGGAUCAGUGGGUGGAGAUGGAAUGAAUCAACGGAUAGAAAUGGUUGAGAAGAUGGCACUGCAUUGGCCCAGAACAAGCCUCAGAAAUCAUCAGGUCUUCGGCGUCGAGAGCUGUGAUUUAUUUGGAGGCUUCAAUGUCUCUCUUCACCCAGCAUUACCUUACAGCUAAAUGGACAAGUAAACUGCUGUGCGACUACGCAUCAACCACAGAUAACAGAAAGAUUUAAUUAAAAAUACCAACUGGACAAUACGGCAAGUGCACCAGGUCUCCAAGAACGUGAUUAGCCGAAAAUAUACUGUCUCCAACAGGAGAGAAUAUGAAACUUGCCGAGUCUAGGACAUCGUGACCCAGGUUCAGCCACAGCAGCAGCGUGAUGUUGGUUGCCUCAGCUCCCUGCAA